CUGGUUGUCUAAAAAUCGAAGUUGCGAGAUUAAUAGGCUACAACUAACCAACAAAGAGGAUGAAUAAAAUAUCUAUGAAAAAUGAUUUUAUAUUUUAUAUUUUGCUGGAUUAUUUUUUGUCGUGUCUCUCUCAUCAUUUUUUUUUUUAUAUAUAUUUAUAUUGAACCUUUUUAAAUUCUUUAUCAACGACAACGCAUGUAACAUCUUAUUUAUUUUUGAAUAUUCUUCUCCC
rnacentral:lncRNA from 1 species